rnacentral:rRNA from 1 species
AAAAACAUGUCUCUUUGGUUUUAUAAAAUAAAGAGUCGGGCCUGCCCAGUGAACUUUUUUCAACGGCCGCGGUAUUUUAACUGUGCGAAGGUAGCAUAAUCAUUUGCCCUAUAAUUGGGGGCCAGUAUGAAUGGUUUGACGUGAGCAAAUCUGUCUCUAUAUUGAUUUUUUAGAAUUUGGUUCCUAGGUGAAGAAACCUAAAUUUCAUUAAAAGACAAGAAGACCCUAUUGAGCUUUAAAGAAGUGGGUAAGUUAAAAGUUAUUUAAGAACAGACUUACUUAUUCAAGAUUUUGGUUGGGGCGACUAAGGAACAGUUAAAGCUUCUUUUUUAUUUUAAAGUUUUACGGAUAUUGAUCCAUAUAUUUUGAUUAAAGAAAUUAGUUACCAUAGGGAUAACAGCAUAAUUCUCUUUGAGAGUUCUUAUCGAAAAGGGAGUUUGUGACCUCGAUGUUGGACUAAAAUCUCCUAAAGAUGUAGUGGUCUUUAAGGGUUGGUCUGUUCGACCAUUAAAAUUUUACGUGAU